AUACGGAGGGUGCAAGCGUUAUUCGGAAUCACUGGGCGUAAAGCGCGCGCAGGCGGUCUUUUAAGUUGGAUGUGAAAGCCUACGGCUCAACCGUAGAACUGCAUCCAAAACUAUUAGACUAGAGUGUGGGAGAGGAAGAUGGAGUUAGUUGUGUAGGGGUAAAAUCCGUAGAGAUAACUAGGAAUACCAAAAGCGAAGGCAAUCUUCUGGAACACUACUGACGCUGAGGCGCGAAAGCGUGGGGAGCAAACAGGAUUAGAAACCCUAGUAGUCC
rnacentral:rRNA from 1 species